rnacentral:lncRNA from 1 species
GGAGGACUCCAUAUAUUUAUUUUGUAGAGAAGACUAUUGUCACGCCCCGGGACCCAGCGGAAGCCCGCCCGGCACGUGCCCAGACCCGCCAUACGUCUAAAACAUAUAAGGCGUCUAAAAACAACAAUAAUAAAAGCAAUAAUAAUAGACAUCUAGGAGUAUCAGAGUAUAAUAAAUGUCUAAAUGCUACAACAAGGGAUAA